UUUUUCUAAAACCAGUUAGAAGUUUUUCAAAAAUAUUGUUGUUUUUUUUCAACAAAAGCCACUACUUGAUCUGCUACUAUUUUCUUUAACCUCCCCACAUUAAAGAAUAUGUGCAGGUGGAUGUGUGUCACAUAGAUGUUUUGAUUGAAAAGCACCAGCCACAGAAAAAAGUCAAAGUUAAAAUUAAGGAAAUGUAACCAGCACAAUAAAAGUGUGACAAUAUCAAAACUGGUAUUUCAUAGGGGAGAAUAGCAGAAAAAUGAGAAAGAUGUUUGGGAACAAACAUUCACACUGUGUAACUCUCUCUACACCCAGAGGCAGAAUGCAAUGAGUUGAUUUAACAAAAAAAGUUACUGUGUUUGGACGCUGCAGCCUUCCAGUGCUUCCAGUGUCAAUAAGCUCUCUCAUAUAUUUGGUGAGCUCCACAAGUUAUUUUGAAGCUCUGGCACACUGACUGCUGUUACUGAUUUAUGUGAAAGAUGGCCAGGGAUUAUUAUACUGGCGGUGGAUGAUGUGUGCCUUGAUUUUGUGCAUUUACAUGUAUUUACGCUGAGGAGACGGGCCACAACAGGCAUAGUCUUCCGCCAAGCAGCUCCACUGUUGAUGAGGGAUAUCUUGUUAACAGACAAGGGAGGAUCAAAAUGUAACCCCAUGACGUUUUCCAGGCAGGAGCUGUUUCUAUUUGAUUGCUGACGGGUGACAAUUUCUCCCUUCACUGAUUCCCAGUAUGGGCCCACAGUGAGACCUCCGGGCUUCAGAGAGACCACACAUGGAGGUGGUUAGGGGAGGUGGAGGUCGGCGGUCUGUCUCAGAGUCAUAGAUCUCUGUCAUCCUUUUCAGGUGGCUUGUAGGCUGUCUGUUGGUUUGACUCCGGCUAAAGACUUUUGCAUAAUAUACAUUGUAUAAAUUCGAGCUGUUCAUGACCAAUUGGGGGAGUUGUGUUAAAAUUGAAUCAAGAUUGUGAGACAGUCUCUUUAAAGCUUUUGGCAUAAAGGACAAUGCCUGCCAGGAAGCCAAGACAUACAUUGUAGAUAAUCCAACAAGGGCUGACAGUCAUUUCUAAGUCAAUGCACAUCCUUGCAUUUAAGGUUAUAGCUUUAAAGAAGUGAUCGAGUGUUGUACUCAUUAUGUGCAGUUGCUGCAGAACAUUCCCUCGUAUGGGUCAAGCUCGAAAACCUUUGACUGUAGCACAGUCAAACAAACCCUUAACUGAGAUUACGAUGACGACAUUCUCAGGGAUAUUUUUUCAGAUUAGACAAAGCUCCUUCAACUUUAUUCAUAGGCUGAGUUGUUCUGCCAAUGACGAGUAAACCGACCAUUAUGUGCUCCUUUAACAUUACCUUUAGCAACAAAAAAAGUGUUUUCCCGUAAACAACCAGUGUAGUGAUGCAUCAUAUCAAUUUCACAGGUGGUGAUAUCCAAUAAAAGGGCCAGCUGAAAUAUAUAUUGCUCUAAUCUACACCUGUUCUCCACAGCCAGAUGAUACAGAACAGUGAGAGAGCAGGAAUGGCUGCUCCGAGUGAAAUAGGGUAAAAUGACACUGAGCUUCUCCGACUAAACGACCCCUCUCACAUUCUCUCUCCUUCUCUCUUUCUCUGAAUGAGAGAAGGAGAGUUGGGCCAGGGUUGACCGCUCCCUCUGAUCCCCCUCACCUUCAUUGUCCUGCUUUUAUUCUCUCGCUAAACGCCUCUGACGGCAUCACCGCUCACAUAGAUCGCCUCUCUGUUCUCCCCCGUCCCCAAAGACCCAGAGUGGCCACUGAAUGACCGGGGUGUCAAAAGAAGAGGAAAACAAAGUUCGGAAGUAUUAGUGUUACUUCCCCUCGUCUCCUGGGAUACAGAGGGAGAAUCAAUAGUUUUUCAUUAACCUGUCUUUCUCCCUGUGAACUAGUAGGUAUAGCCUCGGGUGCCAGUAAAUGCUACAGUGAUAGUGUUUGGGGAUGACAUCUCUCUCUCUCUUUCACACUCACACACUUACACGUUUUCCAGACAUACAAGCGCUCUCUCUCUCUCGCUCUCGCAAAUCAACUCACUUUUAUUGACAUGUUGCUUGGAAAAAGUAGUGUCACACCGAGCCAGGAUAGAAGAAUUAUGUGAAUAUUUAAUAAAUACAAUAAGAAAUGCAUAACAAUUUUUUCUUGACUUUAAAGCCCUUCCCUUACCACAUAUGCAAUUUGUUAUGGAAGUAGAAUCAAGUCUAUAAAUGUAUUCAAUACCUGAA